rnacentral:rRNA from 1 species
UCGAGAAUUUUUCACAAUGGGCGAAAGCCUGAUGGAGCGACGCCGCGUGGGGGAUGAAUGGCUUCGGCCCGUAAACCCCUGUCAUUCGCGAUCAACCCUUAGUAUUUAAAAGAUGCUAAGCUGAUAGUAGCGGAAGAGGAAGGGACGGCUAACUCUGUGCCAGCAGCCGCGGUAAUACAGAGGUCCCAAGCGUUGUUCGGAUUCACUGGGCGUAAAGGGUGCGUAGGUGGUGACGUAAGUCGGGUGUGAAAUCUCGGAGCUCCACGCCGAAAUGGCAUUGGAAACUGCGUCGCUUGAGGGUCGGAGGGGGGACUGGAAUUCUCGGUGUAGCAGUGAAAUGCGUAGAUAUCGAGAGGAACACCAGUGGCGAAGGCGAGUCCCUGGACGACUCCUGACACUGAGGCACGAAAGCUAGGGGAGCAAACA